ACUAUCGUUACCCAUUAUAAUGAUGCAUAUAUAUAUAGAUGCCUAUACCAAAAAGAUUUUUCAAAAGUUUACGAUGAUCGAGCAUUCACGCCAAUUGGAUACGGCGACUCGCCCUUUGGCCAAUUUAAAUCCAUAAAAUCUUAACUUACCCCACCUCUCAAAGCCCUCUUCGAGUCCUCAAGAGAGAACUCCUUCUGCUUUCUAUUUCGAGAUAUGCUCGUUUGCUCGUUCGCACCGAACUCGCGUCUCUCGCGUAACGAUCACUUAAGAAUCGCGCCCGAAGAAGUGCUACGAAAGAUGGACGAUGCAGUUUACGAGGAAGCCGGCUCGCACGCUUUAACUCUCAAGUGAGUUCAAUUGAAGUGCCUCGACACGCGGCAGCGGUGGCGGCGGCGGCAACGAUGACAACAACGACGACGACGACGACGACGACGACGAUUUCACCCUUUACUUCUCCUCUUCUCUGUGCUUGUUGGAACACUGAUGUCAUUCAUGACUUUGACGAAUUCCGUCAUUCCUAGGAGAUGCAAGUAUUCGAUGUAUCCAUGAGAGAGCUGGCGCCGUGAGAGCUCUAGACGACCAUCCAUAAAAUAUACUCGUCGUCGAGCGAAAGGAAGAGAAAAAGAGAGGGAAAGAGAGAGAGAGAGAGAGAGAGAGAGAGAGAGAAAAAGAAAGAGAGAGAAAAAAGAGGAGAAGAUAAAGAAGGAGGUGGACGGAGGAAGCUGUGAUGAGGGUAAAGAGACCAAGAAUCUUCCCGCUACUUGUCUUCCGUAGUCACCGAGAAACGCGUUGCCCGAGGAGAUCGUUUACCCGGAGGGUGCGAAAGCGGCAUAGAGAGAAGCAAACGAGAAGAGGAAACGCGGAGGACGCUGAAAAAUGAGGGACCUCCGUAGACUAGACUGUUCUCUGCGUUCAAACGAAAAUUAGAAAUGGGAGGUAGACCGUGUUGGUGUCGUGACGAGGCAAAUGUUGUCGAGUAAAAUCAAAAACAAAAAAAAAAAAAGAAAGAAAGAAAGAAAGAAAAAGAAAAACAAAAAAAUAAAAUAAAAUCUAUUCAACGAACUUAGUCGAACAUUUUUUUCCCUCUCCCUUCCUAAAAUACUUCGACACGCUAACGAAGAAAAUAAUCAAGACGACGUAGAUUCAACUUGUAAUAAUAAUUGCGACGAAUGAACAAUGGCCUGCAAAGUAAAUUCUGAUUUCGUGUAGAACGUAUGAAAAGUAGAAAAUCCAUGAGAUUCUGACGAUCGUGCUCCGGAAUGGAAGAGGCUUGCCGAACGGCUGGAAAGAUAUUCCGGUUGGUGAAUAAAUUGCCGAUGGCAAGGCCGCAACUAAUGGCCGCCAGUCUGGCGUCGAUACUCUUGCUUGUUGGCCGUCGUACACAUACGUCGAGUUAACAAACUACUGGUAAGAAGAUGUUCGAAGGAAGAUGCCGUUCCUCGUAUUCUUUUCCUUUUUUUUAUUUCAUCUCCCUUUCUCUCCUCUCUCUCUCUGUCUCUCUCUCUCUCUCUCUCUCUCUCUCUCUCUCUCUCUCUCUCUCUAACUCUCUUUUUAUUUUCAUUCUAAGCGCGAUCUUACUUUGGAUAUUUUUGCGAGAAUAUGAUUAAAUAUCGAUACAAGAUAUUGUCACAUUCAUGAGCUGUCAAAUAUUUGUGGAUACGGCUCAGGUUAGGCGAUAAUCCCAAGUCAAAAUUAAAAAAAAAGAAAAAAGAAAGAAAAAAGAUUGAUUUAAAAAAAAGGAGUAAGUUCUUCGCGCUUACUCUCAAAAUCUUAUUCUAAGUUUAAGAUGCAAAACUAUCCAAAAGAAAAUUAAAACAAUAAUAUGAAUAUACAUUACGGCUGAUAUUAAUUUGAUUGAAUGUUUAAAAAAGAAAAAUGUUGAAAAUCUUAAAAAUUAUACAAUAUGCAACAAAUAAUGUAUAUCCAAUGUAAGUACUAUUCGAUCAUCGCGAUUUAUUUUAAUUGAUUUAUUACUUUAUAAUAUAUAUUAAAUAUAAUCAGCGGAUCAUUUAGAUUGCCAGGAUAUGUACAAUAUUUUUUUCGCGGAAAUAAAAAAUGCCAAAGAGAUGUACUGAUCCAAGGUGUCCUUUGAAUAAAUAUUUUAAGUAUGUUAUUCCGUCUCCGAUAUCGCUAUUUUGUCUUUUUUAUUCUCAUAUUUCUGUUCAUGUAUUUACUUUAAAAAUUUAUAGUGAUCAAAAAUCGCAGAAAGAUUCAUGCAAAAUUCAUGAAAAGCCAUGCAUAACAUUUUCCUCUGAUGGUGAACGAGAGUAUCGCAACAAGCAUAAACGAACAAAAUGUACGAAAUUAAAGCAUAAAAAGCCACAAGAAAAAAAUGAUCGUUGUGGGAUAUGUUGCAAAAAGUAAAUUUCUGUUAUAUAUACGAAUUAGAAGAGAAAAAAAAAAGAAUAAAUAUAAAAAAAUAUCUCACGUAAAAUUAUUUUAUCUUUAGCAAAAGAUGUAAACUUUUAAAAACUACCACAGAACAUGCCACAUCCACGGAUUCACUGACAAAAGCACGACCGAAAAAAUCCGGAAUGAAAAAGAAGGCUCAUCGGAACGAAGAGGAUGAAGAAGGAAGACGUUGCGAAUGUAGAAUCAAAAAAUGUUACGAACCUAAGAAGAAGAAAAAAAAGCGACAUCGAUCUCGUUGUAAGAAAAAAGGAAAAUUUAAUUGGCUAAAAAAAUGUCUCAGAAGUUUUUUCUUUUGUUGUAAGAGUUCUAAGAGAUCUAAAAGAUCCAAAUCUUGCAAAUCACAUGUAAUACGUAAUUCACCCCAAAGCUAUGAAUAUUGUUACACGUACAGAAAUGUAUGUUAAGUAAUUGUCAUACUUCAUAAAGGUAUCUUCAAAUAAAUAUAUAUAAAUUCACAACAACUCAAAGAAAAAAAUAAUUAAUUUACAGAAACAUGAGAAAACAUCGAGAAAAUCGUAUCGUUAAAAAAAAAAAGAACAUUUUUCUUCCAGAUGAUAAAACUAUGAUAGAUUCUGCGAGAUAUCGUAAUAACAGCUUCGAUCGAAAAUGUGAAUAUGCAUCAAUACCAUGCAGUUAGUUUUUCUAUAUAAAAUAAUUCUCCGAUAAUUUCUAUAGUAAUUAUUUACCUUAUUACCUAGCAUGAUACCUCAAGAUCAGUCGUAUUUACAAGGCGUUUUUUCAAAAGGAUUGAAUAUUAUACGUAGAGGUAUACAUUUUUGUAUAUAAACACAAUCGUCA